UACAGAGGUCCCAAGCGUUGUUCGGAUUCAUUGGCGUAAAGGGUGCGUAGGCGGCGCGGUAAGUCGGGUGUGAAAUCUUGGAGCUUAACUCCGAAACUGCAUUCGAUACUGCCGUGCUUGAGGACUGGAGAGGAGACUGGAAUUUACGGUGUAGCGGUGAAAUGCGUAGAUAUCGUAAGGAAGACCAGUGGCGAAGGCGGGUCUCUGGACAGUUCCUGACGCUGAGGCACGAAGGCCAGGGAGCAAACGGG
rnacentral:rRNA from 1 species